CAUUCUACUACCACACGUUCUUGCCUUACACAGGAAUCAACUCUUCUGAGCUGUGUUUAACACUGGAUAAUUUCCUUCUUCUUCAUUAUUGUGGUACUGGGGUUUUAGCUCAUCUUUCUUUCAACCUCACUGACUGAACUUUCUUGAGUUUUUGACUGUUUUGAGGUGCUUCUCUUAGAAGGUUGUCCAGGGUAUUGUUUCCAGACUGUGUGUUAUCUUUACAUUUACCCUAUCAGCAGCACUUUUGCUCCUGGCCAGUGAUAUUGGAAUGCUCAUAACAUCUAGCCAUGAAAGAAAUAAUGUAUUUGGGAAGGAGUAUCCCAUGAUCAAGUGUGGUUCAUUCAGCACUGAAUCAAGUGCUACUUCUGUCCAUGAAGAUUUACACAACUCUCCUGAAUGAGGCCUGGAGCAAUGCUAUCUAACUGUGAAGUUGGCCACGCUCUGAAGAGGAGGUCGGAUCAGAAGUCCCAAGAAAUCUGAAUCUUUCUAUCAUUCUAAGUGCUGAACAAAGUGCCCUCCAGAAGAAGAAGGAAAAAAAAAAAAAAAAGCAGAGGGCACAAGAAAUGAGAUUGAUAUCUGUUUCUUACUUGGGCCAUAGGACAGCAUUCCAAAGAGCAUGACAGCUGGAGUCUCAUCCCCUGAUUUCAUUGAGCUGCAAGUGGUGCACUGUUUCUUUAUUCAGCCUUGUUUUUUCUCCCAUGGACUUUUAUCUCAUGCCUAAAGUCAUGGGAAGUGAAGCUUUAUGCUGCAUUUCUUCUGAGUUUAUCAGAGAAACGUGGCUUUGUAUUAUGUUAACUGUCUUGUCUAAAAAUACUUCUAACAUGUUUUUAAACAACAUAAAUAUCAGGCUAGGAGAAGAAUUGUUGUGUAAUUAGAUAUAACAGUAUGAAAUGAAGACAGAAGUGCAGGAGAGAGUACAGGGAAGCCUUUUUUUGCAAGACUUCAAGGGAAAUAGCAGAAUUGUUUAAGUCAUUUAAAACUAGUCUCAGAAGUGACUCAAGAUUAGCCCCAUAUAGAAAUAUUUGAGAUCCCUUGUCUGAAAUUACUGACCUCUUGCAAGGUCCAGUUAGAGAGGACAGCAUAUAAUAAAGUCUAGUCUUUCUACAUCCCAACGAUUUCUGCAGUAAUGCAUCAAAGUAACUUUAUAAAUAAUAUUUUGUUUUGCAUGUUGUUGUGGGUUAACCUCCGCUGUCUGCCAGGUGCCCACCAUGUCAAUCUCUCAUUCCCCAUCCUCAGCAAGGCAGGGGAAGAAAAUAAGAUGAAAAA